ACCAUCCUACCUCGCACUUCCAACGAGACAAGUGAUGAAGUAUACUAACGACCAAAGGGAAUGAUAGAGUUGCGGUGAGACCAUAUACGUUCCAGCAUCCUUGCCAGGCGUUCAGGUUCCCACUUCAUAGCGUCCUUCAUAUGUUCGAAGCGUGGAAAGCCCAUAUCAGAUCUGGUUUCGUCGUAAACCGGACAGUCCAGCAAAAUGUGUUUCUCAUCCUCGAUGUGGCUAUCAGUGCCGCAGCAAGGGCAUACUCGCUCAAACCUAGGUAUAUAACACCGUCCCUUACACACUCUGUUAGCUGCCAGUGCCCAACAGCAAAGCCUAAACUGCAUAAGCUUGCGAUUCGCCGAACGUGGGAUAAACAUUGUGAUGUGCAGGAGCACCUCCUUCCUGCCCGCUUGCUCGGCCGCCAGCCCCAUCCAAUGCUUAUACUUCGCCAUGUGGAUUCCUGGUUGCUUGCCAUCUGACGGAUACACGUCAGGCUGGACAUCUAAACGCGUAUGCUUCCAACCACUCAUUAAUCGGUCCUUGAACUCCAAAAUCACACCUUCUGGCAUUGGCCUGUUCAUCAGCCACUCCACUCGUUCAUCUACCUCGUGUAGCCCUUGCGGGGCCUCUUUCCAUACAUCGUGCCCCAAAAAACAUAGAAAACGGAGGAGUAGUGUCCCCCAUCCGGCCCCUUCGGGGUUGGAGAGGGAUUCUGCGACCUCCUGUCGCAAAACUUGGUAUGCCACAGACCCACGCUGUAAACGGACAUGGUUCCAAAACCUCACAACCUGCUUGAGAACGUGGUAGUGUAGGGGUAGCUGCGAUAGCUCUGCGAACAGGAGGCGGUGUGUUGGUCUGGCAGCUCCUACAAUUUGCCGCAUGAAAGAUAUCUGAAGCUGCACUGCCCUGUCCUUUAGGCAUGCCUCGAAGGGCCCCUCUGCAAGGUUAUUUGCAUCACUCCGCUUCCUGAGCCUGUCCGAGACCUCAGCUAGCAUAAACGGCCCCCACGCUUGACAACCAUACAACAGUAUUGCUCGUACCUGCGUAUCAAAACACCUCAUCCUCACAUCUGGGGCGAACAACUUUAGCUUAUCUAAUUUUGCACUCAACGCAAACAUAGCUGCUCUAGCUGUGUCAUACAACUGCUGACGGCAGGCCCAGAACUGCCGUUCCAGCCCAUACACUAACCCCAGAUAUCGUGCACUAUCCUUGGCCGGUAUGGCCUCUCCAGCCAGCCUGAGCUCAUCACACGAUGCUUGGACAGCACUUCUAGUAUCGCUGUCGCUUGCAAAAACGAGGCGUUCACAUUUUGACACAUUUGGGCGCAUCCUAAAAUCAUCACAGAACAUGUCCACAAUGUUGAGCAACUCCCCCAUGCGUCCCGGUGUUGUUGCCAGAAGGCUAACGUCGUCGGCAUAGAGGAGGAUGGACACUCGCUCAUUUCCAACCUCCGGUGCAUCCUCUGGCCGUGCCCCGGUAUUAAUACCGUCGUGCAUAUCGAUGACGUCCAUGAGAGUUUCAAUAUAGAGCCCAAACAGCUCAGUUGAUAGUGGACAGCCUUGUUUCACACCCUGUUUUGACUCAAAUUCACCUCCAGCCUUGCCAUUCAUCUUGAUGACCAUCGUAACCUUAUCAUACGCCCGCAUCAGCGACCGCAGCAUGGACCCUUCAACCCCUCUCUCUUGCAAGCGAAGCCACAUUAUCUCCCGCGGCACCUUGUCAAACGCCUUCCCAAAGUCAAUUUGCACGAUGAUUAACAGCCGCUGUCCCGGUUGGCUGUGCCUAGUAGUAAGGUACUGCUUGGCAAAGAGAUGAUGUAUAGUACCGAAACCUCUUCUGAAACCCGCUUGGCCUCGAUGCCUAAGUGAGAGCGUCUCCCCUGUGCGAGCGAGCCUAUCCAGGAGGACCAGCGCGUAACAUUUCGCCAAGGCGCCCCCUACUGCUAUGCCCCGGUAGUUACUCGGCAUGCUGGGGUCCCCCUUCUUGUAAAUAGGGGUGAGGACGGUAGUUGUAAACUGCCGUGGGAAGUCCCCAGUCGCCCUGAUAUGUUCCAGAAGCACGUGCAGUACCGGAACAAGCUGAUUCACUUCCCCCCGUCGCCUGCCCCUACCAUUACCCGACGUGGAGCCUUCUUCCUCUCGGGGCAAACGCGCAUAGCGGUAACAUUCCGACGGCGCUACUUCCAAACCUGGUGCCUUACUGUUAGGCAGCCGGUCAACAGCACGUGCGACUUCCUCCAGCGUGAGGGGGGGGUCUAGGAUUUCUGCUGCCUUCGCAGUCCUGCCCAAAACCGAGUGGGAUGACCGCCAUUCCUGCCCCUCUAGGAACUGCCCAAAGUUAAUGAAGUUCAAAAGCCGGUUCGCACCAUCAGGCCCUGUCUCCCCUACACCUGCAUUUAAGAGCCCAGCAAAGUGUUCCCUGAAGACCUCAAUAUCGUCUAUCACACAUCACUCCCUCAACUUCCCUCCUAAAGCCCGCCACAAAGCUCGUUGGUCUUGCCGACAUUUGGCCACAAAAUCUCUCAUCCUGUCCUCCUCAUAUGCCGCCUUUGUGUGUCUUUUUGCCCGGUUAUAAUCCGUCCACGCAUGGCGGAAAGCCUCCCAUUCCCGGUUCCACUAAACCGUAUUCCCACCUGCCGUCAUGCCGGUAGGUCGGUGGGUAUCGAAGGCCCUCACCAGGACUUUGUACAGGGCACCUCCAAUGCGUUCGACAGCUUGUGUGGUGUUGCAAACUCCCCUCUGCAGGUCCUCGGCCACUUGGCUUAAGGCAUUCAUAAUAGGGGACCCCCCCUCAAAAUAUUCCGCGUAAUCCUGGUAUCAUGCAAUAUCAAACUCCACCCGGGCUUUUCGGCCUUUACCGUCCCUACAGCUGCUUUCGUCAUCCACUGUAACAUUAAGAACAAGCAUCAAAGGACAGUGGUCGGUGGGCUCCCAUCCAUCCAACUCGAUCAGGUUUCCUACCCUCAGAAAGGUGGCGUACUGCUGAAGCACACGCGGAGUCGCUAUGAAUAAAUCGAUCAUGAUCAUACUACCGCCUGCCUCCCCCUUAGGGAAAGUUAGGCGGCCUUCUGGGUCCCCUCUCAUCCGGCUGUUCAUCACGAGCAGUCCCUCGGAUCUGCAGAGCGCCCCAAGCUGGGCAUCAAAGAAAUUGCAAACUUGGUCCUGGCACUUUCGAUUUCCGAGUCCAUCAUAAUUUUGGUAGUCCCUCAGUCCUUCAAAACCCAUGACCUCGCAUACGGCCUGCGACUGCUCUAAAUCCGGGAUGUCGUUCACGUAAGCAGGUAGGUCCAUCGGGGUAGCACGGUUCCGCUCAUGCUGUGCUCCAGACAGACGUGCGUUAAGGUCCCCAGCUAUCAGUACGUCCUCAUCGCCAAGCCUGAGUUCCGUUAGUGACUGUUGGAUCCUGGUAAAAACGGCUUCUGUUGCUGCAGUGCGCUGUGAUACGGUGCCUCCACCAUCCGGGUAGACCCUGGACGUCUCUGGUGCGAGGUAGCAGGCUCCCAUCAGGAGACUGUUACCUGUGGAAAGGCUAACGCGUGCCCAAAUGACCUCGCACCCUGGCAGCUGGUUGUCCUUGCACACUACCGUAAUACCCCUCGUGAGUGACUCCCGUACAUACAGCGCGACGCCUCCAUAAUCGGCCCUCAGGAAUGUACAUGUAAGAUUGCGGGGUGGGUGGGUGUGCACACAGAUCUUUUAAAAGAUCUGCAGGACUCGUCUGUUUAUGCCUCCUUAAGGCUCCUGCUGAGAGCUGUAUUAGUUAUCUAUUGAAGUGUAUGUGUGGUUGUUACAGUGGGCUCCAGACUUACAAAGUGUAGAGCCAGCUGGCUGCAGCGGGCUAGCGGCUGUGCACUGCACCUGAUACCAUGAGGGCAGACAAGACUCUCACCUAGACCAGACAACGCAAGUCACCUAGACAGCUAAACAAAAUUAAUAGUUAAUUAUGUAGCAAUUAUUAACAAUUAAUAAUGAAAUGUAACAAAUCGUGCUCAAGUUGCUUUGCUGAACACGAAUUACGCAACGGCACCAGGAUUUAUACGAGAACCUCAGUAGGUUACGAGGCCUGCUACUGUCCCGAAAUAUGUCCGUCAGUAAAGCCAGUGAAGCCCGUCAGUAAAAUUUUUGAUUAUUUAAAGGUGACACAGGGUUCCGCCUAUAGGUGAUCCAACAUUUCCCUGACGUCUCGACUGGUGGACAAAUCUACUGGCCAAAGAGAGAGCAUUCAGCAUUGCUGCACCAGUUCCUGUCCGUUGUUUGUAAUACAGAACGUCCACCGCGCUUUUCAUUUGGCCGCUUGCUUCCGCACAGCCACGCCCACACGGUGUCAGACGUGGGUACCCUUCAUGCAUAGUCUUCGUGCCGCUUGCGUCCCACGUUUCCUUCCAAAACAUAUUUACGCUUCAUUUCUUAAAUUCAUUCGUGCUACACACCAAUCGGUCAAUAUCUGCUGCUACUUGGAUCAAGGGCUACGUUCAAACAGGUUGAAAGCGCAUGAGCCACACCGUAUAUGAUAGACACAGGUUAAAACGUUUCGUGCCGGUUCUGUUGGACAGCGUGUGCAAGUUAUUAAUGUUUUCUGUCACCAUAUAUCAACUUGCAAGUUAUCGAGUCUUUUUGACGAUUGACAUGUAAACGUCAUACGUUUAAUUUUAGUUUAUCGCGUUGACUAGCGGCUUCUUUGUAUAUUGGCAUGCAUGAUAAUGACAAAGCUCGAUUCCAUAAUUUGGUUUCUAACGUGACUGUGCUCGUAGCCCGUUCAUCUAGUGCACACAACGAAAAGGUAAAAACAGGAUCCCUUACACAAUGCGAUGUAUUUUUGCUUGGGGAUUAUGCGGGUCCACGCGAGGCGACACGGCCUCCGCCGUGUUACACAACUUCCCUGCUGCCUGCAGGCGGAUGUGGUUAUCUUCACCUUCGCGGAGGUUUAUUGCCUGAACCAACUUAGUUUUUAUAUAUGUUUAUUAUAAUGUAUCCAUAUGUUCAAAGUAUGUAUGGUGCCUCAUUUUGAAGUCGAACGUGGAAUAUACAUGGAAAAAUACGGAGCAGAACGUUAAACGUAGACAUCAAGGCGUUCCUUCUGCACAUAACAUGAUGCAUUAUAAGUUCCGGUUGUUUACCUUGAUUAGCAGUCAUUCCACCAGGUUAUGACUGCUAACUAUAUCUUUAGACCCUACCCUACCCUACCGCCCAUCCAAAAGAAUCAUACAUGGUUCAGCCUCUAAGAAUCAAGGCCAUCAGUGUCUCUAUUAAUGGCAGAUCUUGUCCUUAAGUGGUGCUGCUUCCUGCUGUCGCUGCUGGCCUGCCUCUCAGCGGGUGAGCCCACCACUGGAGGGCAAAAAGCUAAUGGUGCACCUGCGGGUACGUUUCUUCCUGGAAAGGUGUUGCUAACAGCUAAUUAUUAAAGCUGCAUCAGGUCAUGCAGCAUGCAGUCUAGUUUGCCUUAACGUAAGCUGCUCUACAUGCAUGUGUUGCUCAGCGAGCCUCGAAACCAGCCACCUCCAGCUGCCAUUCAUAGUGUCCGCUUUGGAUAGCGGUGCUUCCAAUGUAGAAAAACUGCGUGUGCAACUUCGACAAGCAGUGGAGGUGUCCUCAUAUGUCGACCUGCUCUUCACUGCAACUGAGUUUCUUGUACAUGCAGAUGGUAAGUGGAGUGUGCGGUCGGGGGCUUUGAAUGGCUGUUAGGACGGAUUGGGGUAUGAUGUUUUUCAAAGAGCGACAAACCGUUGACGCACAAGAUAAAUUUAGAUUGAUGCAGGUCACUUGGCCUUCAUGGGUCCAAAGCUUCUACAUACAGCAAAGGCCUUGAUAGCGUGCUUGAUUAACAAAGUAGUCCAUGUCAGCAGGUAGGUCAUACUGCCCGUUGCAUGCAAGAGGGUUCAUGCGGGACCUGUCCAGCAGAUAUCACCCUAGGGUCGAGUAAUAUGCUUACACGAACAUGCAUGGUGGGCUGCAUAUACCUACUUGUCUGGCGGUCCAGCUUACCAAAGGCAGGUGGCCUGCAUAAGCUAGAUAAGCGUUACACGUAUGCCAGGUGAAGCCAAGAGCAAGGGGCCCUUCGUAAGUUAAAAAACCUGGUGGGUAUGCUAAUGUAAGCAAGCCGGACCAAUUGCAAUUGGUCCCCCAACCCUAAGCCAAGCUAGCCUGCAGGCGAGGAUUCCACCGCAUAAGCUAAUUUAGCCUGCUAGGGAGGCAGAAAUGCCGUGAAGCUCGUUUCGGCUACAGGAUGGUUGAGGCAUGUUAAGGUGGUCAUCACGGCCCCAGGCCCCCAAAUGUCGGUUCCCUUUCCGCUGUGGUUACCGCGCCCAAUAUUUGCGCAUCUUUGGAAUUACGUGGAAUUAUUGCUGUAUAAUAAAGUUACCUAUAGUUAGUGCAUCGCAGCCGAUUGAGCUUCUUGGUAUCCGUGAUGACCUCGCGCCAGCCUUGGCCGGCUCUCGGCACCUCUGCCCUGCUCAUAUUACUGCUCUUAAAGUUUGAAAGCAUGCUUUGCUUGCCGCUUAUCCACAGGAGCUUCGCGCAGCUAUACAUAUUUCCGAUUUCCGCAUGUCAUGUCGUUUUUUCGUACUGUCCAUGCUUACUGUUCAGUGCGCAGCUUGCUUCGAGGGAAAGAGGUAUAAUUUUACACAGAUCUCUUAUUAAACCACUAGUGUGACGGCGCUUUGAAAUUUAUGAGCAUGGAGGCAGGCCGUUGCAUAUGAGCAGCUGCCUUCGUGCAUGCGCCUGCUGUAGUAUAAAACCAGUCGAUGGGCGCAAUCAUCACAUACUGACAUAAAUUUUAUCCAGUUUUUCGAGAUUACAUCUCGAAGCAGACAAUACUGGUAAAUUAUUCGACCUACCUCUGGGAAGGCAGCAAGUUACUAACCAGCAGCAGACUUGCGACGCACCUGAGUCCAGGUGAAAACAUCACUGACAAUAGUUCCAUAUUACAUAAAAUGUCAUCUUUUUGGCACGAAAAAAAAGCUGAUGCCGUACGUUGGUGGUUACGAGACCCCUAAACUAAAAAUGCGAAGCUGCUCCGACGGCAAUACAGCAGUAAUGAAGCAUGUGACCUUAUUUACAAUAUUCAUUUCAAUGUAUAUACAUGAGAGAAGCGCUUACGGUAUCCUUUGCCGAUUUCAUUGAGAUACGACGGGUAUGCACGGAUUGACGAGGGUACUCUGUAGAGCUACUCUGCUAUCAAACUGAUGAACAUGAAGUGUAAGGGAUUUGUGUUCGUUACCGAGUACGUAUGGUUUGGCUUUGAUCGGUACGACUCUGUGUCGUGCAAGGCUUUGCCAGACUAUUUAAGGCAUUCCUACACCAUUAUUUGUAAGCUUAGUAUUCUUCUCUUCCUUGUCUCUCAGUCAGCGAUUGAUGUCGGGCUCUGCAGAUCGGGCAAGUUAGGAACUAAUGCUUCCUCCAGUCGCCAACUGGAGCCAGUUCCUUUCAUAUGGUAUCGAGUUAUGGUUCAAUCCUGCAUCGGUCCGUAUUGGAGCUGUUUUCCCAUCGUCACUGCUUUUGCACUUCGCGCCACCGCACGAUCGAUUGUUUGCCGGCCCGUGUUGCCGGUCGUUCACCCGCAUCUCGUAACUACCGGGUUCAUCGCCAGGUAAUAAUUUCCCUUAGUUGCUAGGAUGCCGCCCGCCUUGGCCAGAGUAUGACAAUCUUACAGGGUGUUUCCACUUGAGUGCACACUAUCUUCGGUACAUUAUGGGCUGGUGUGGACUUAGUGUAGCGCUAGUGUGACGGUAUUUCCACUAGCUGCACUAAGGAGCACCGAAACCAAAAUGUUUUUUUGGAUGCUUUAGCGCCAGGUAUGAAUUGCUGCUAAUUGUCAAAGCCUGUAAGGAAAAUAUGGAUCGUAGGCUUUUCCUAUUAUCCUAUUAAACGCGGGCUCCAUUACAAACUGGCAGCCUUCUGAGUCUGUCGGUGUUGGGCGUGUGCAAGCCAACGUGGCAUUUGCAGGAAGGAAAAAAGAUAGCUGCUCAGGUGAAAGGUCUGUGGUCAGAAGGCACAAACCAGCUCCUAAAAGUUCCCCGCCAAAUAAUUAGUGCUAGGAUUGAAAGUUAAUGGCAGGUCUGGGGUCCAAUUAACUUUGUGACGCGCUAGUGUGGACUUAGUGUACAGGGUGUUUCCACUAGGCCUCCGGCUGUCCGGCUAUCAUAACUCUGCUGAUGAAGGCGAAAGUGCAUCAGUUCUACUUUACCCUUCGUUUUGUGGGAGUGAGGCAGUUCUCAAGCCGUACACACCACAGGUUAACUACCGCAGGUUGUGAAUUUGGCCUGCAAAGUUGCGCGUUAAAAAUUGCGGUCAGGUAGCACAAUAUGCAUCUCCUUGUUAGGUAAUGGCUACAGCCGGCUGUGAAUGGCUAGAGGGGGCUUUGAUUUGUGCUCGCUGGUCUGAAGAUGCUGCAGGUCGUACAGAAGCAGUCAAGGUUCCUCAUAACGUGUACCUCUGGCAGGAGGCACGUGUCGAGGUAGCACAGUGCCAUCUACAGCUUAAUUCAUUUUAGCAUGAUAUGUGGGCUCAUGUUAAGUAGACGCAAGGACAACAACAAAAUGGCAUAUGCAUGAUGUUGUAAAGGUGUACAGGUGGUGUACAGACGGUGUGCAGAGACCCACCUGCCAGCAGGGAUUGAAUGCAAUCCGGCGGUUCAUCCCGCGCUGCCAGUCUGGCCAGUGGCUCCUGUGAAUGGCGUCGCUGGCCCCGACCAGUUUCCCACAAUACUCUCGAUGUAUGCGUAUGUAGGAUCGGGGGUUGUAGCUUGUAGUAGCUCGCCGCUAAAAAGGCCCCUUAAAGUGCCGGCAGAGCACCUCAGCGCGUAAUUAUAGCCGAUCUUUGUGCCGUACUGUAUUACAGCUACUGCAUAGACCCACCCAUGGCUGUAACACGAAAAUGGGAAACAUUUUGAUAGGACGCCUUCACCUUUGCCAAAGGAAUAAUUGGCGUUCAGAGGUAAUUAUGCCCAUUUCCCCCUAACAAUAACAAAGGAAAUUUACCGGCAAUCGAGGAAGACCUGAUCUUUCCUUAAUUUCUGUCCUUCUGAUAGUUCUGCUCCUUUUCUUCAACGUCGGGGCGGGUACCAGCACCAGCGGUUCUUCUGAUAGUUCUGUUCCUUUUCUUCGGACCCCCUAGCUUUGCUGGUCUUAACAUGGGCUCCUUGUUAGGAGCGCUUUGCAUCCCGCUAAGGCACAGCUGAAGUACCGGCAAUGAACGGUUUGAACAUAAUAUCGAGUGAGUAGAAAUGAUAGAAGAUUCAUUUGAGUGAGGACUAACCAUUAACAACGAACCACCGAGGUGAUGGUGAUCACUUAUCAAUAUUCGGCAUGCUGAUCUUGCUGGACUGCAGAAGCGGCGGACUCACUUUUGGCUUAUCAGAAUACCAGCAGGGAGUUCUCGCAACUUGCGUUGUCGCUGCCAGAGCUAUCAACAACACCAGUGAUUCGGGGCCUUUGCGAACUGUCAUCAGCCCUUCGUUCAAUGAUGGGGACUAUGGAUAAUCAGGUCAGUCGGUCAUCCACCAUGGGCUGCCCACGAGCGAUUCCAUCCCCGGGGCACAUUGUGUAACUGCAUGAUGUGUCAUCAUGAUGCGUCAUGGAUUUGUCUGGCCUCACCAGUAGGGCUUUCUGAGCGAGCACAUCAUAAUAAUGAACAAGUCAUGAUGAGCAAGGACAUUUGUGGACCAACAAGCUCUUUUAAGAAGUAUGGGAAAAAUUCAAUCUUAUCUAAUACAUGCAUGUACAUAUAUGCAUAUCGUCUAGUACAAGAUAAACCUUAUUUCCGUAUAGUUCCUUUAGCUACAACCAGUCCAUCCUUAUGGUGUGUGGUGUGUGGGGUGUCGGACCACAUGAACACCAGUUUGGUGCCGGUGAAACACAUCUGCUAAACAUACAAGCACCUGGCGAUGCCAGUGUUCAAUGCGAGUUCAAUGAACACCUGAUAACACACUGGCCACGUUCCCUCUUUGUCUCUAGGCCUGCCGGCAAGCACUGCUCCAGGGCCUCAGAACCACCUUCCUCUGGGCCCAGGACCACAUUGUCAUCACAGACCAUCCUCCCUGGUCUGUCAUGUCUGAAGUCUCCAGCCAGGAUCCCGUGGCCGCACUUGCUGAAGCCCUGUCUCAGCCGGACCAACUGAAUGACAUGAUGGUGCUGCUGACUGAAAGGUGUGGCCUGGAAGCUGAGGAUUUUGUGGCCCUGAUUCCCCGCGUCUUGAGAGCCAUGGCAAAUCUUCACAACCAUCUAAAGCUGCUGGAGCAACUUGCGAGGAAGAUGCAGCUGAAAUUUGUGGCAGGGCAGCAUAUGCAUGAAGAGGAUAUGCGUAAGCUGCGUGGAAGGCUGCUUCAGCAAACAUCAAAGCGGUCGCCACCACCAGCUGAUAUAUGGAGCUCAUUACUGGUUCCACAACCAAAGCCAGGACCAUCCAGCCCCAAACGGCUGCUGUCGCCCGCUUCGUCCAGCCUAACCUUGUUGCCAACCAUUCCACUACCACCGCCGCCUGAUUUGCCCAGCCCAUCCUCAACAUCGAACAUUCCAUUACCACCAUCGACUGAUCCUACCGGGCCGCCCUUGCUACCAAACCCAAUAAUCUUCGCUGCCGAUUAUCACCGACUCGCAAUAGCGUCACCCUAAUACCGCCUUACCCACAAAUACCAACAUCGACAUCACCACCACCGGCAACACCUACCACCACCUUCUCAACCAUCUAACCCACCACCAGCAUUACCAUCACCAGCGGUGCCGCCCUACAUCAACACCUUCUCAACCAUCUACCCACCACCAUCUUACCCACCACCAGCGGAGCCGCCCUACACACCACCUUCUCAACCAUCUAACCCACCACCAUCAUACCCACCACCAGCGGAGCCGCCCUACACUCCACCUUCUCAACCAUCCUACCCACCACCAGCAUACCCAACACCAGCGGAGCCGCCCUACACACCACCUUCUCAACCAUCUAACCCACCACCAUCUUACCCACCGCCAGCGGAGCCGCCCUACCCACCACCUUCUCAAUAAUCUAUCGCAGCCGAUUAUCACCGACUCGCAAUAGCGUCACCACUAAUACCGCCUUACCCACAAAUACCAACAUCGACAUCACCACCACCGGCCACCCUACCACCACCUUCUCAACCAUCUAACCCACCACCAGCAUUACCAUCACCAGCGGUGCCGCCCUACACACCACCUUCUCAACCAUCUACCCACCACCAUCUUACCCACCACCAGCGGAGCCGCCCUACACACCACCUUCUCAACCAUCUAACCCACCACCAGCAUACCCACCACCAGCGGAGCCGCCCUACACACCACCUUCUCAACCAUCCUACCCACCACCAGCAUACCCACCACCAGCGGAGCCGCCCUACACACCACCUUCUCAACCAUCUAACCCACCACCAUCUUACCCACCGCCAGCGGAGCCGCCCUACCCACCACCUUCUCAACCAUCUAACCCACCACCAGCAUACCCACCACCAGCGGAGCCGCCCUACACACCACCUUCUCAACCAUCUAACCCACCACCAUCUUACCCACCACCAGCGGAGCCGCCCUACACACCACCUUCUCAACCAUCCUACCCACCACCAUCAUACCCACCACCAGCGGUGCCGCCCUACACACCACCUUCUCAACCAUCUAACCCACCACCAUCUUACCCACCGCCAGCGGUGCCGCCCUACCCACCACCUUCUCAACCAUCUAACCCACCACCAUCUUACCCACCGCCAGCGGAGCCGCCCUACACACCACCUUCUCAACCAUCUAACCCACCACCAUCUUACCCACCGCCAGCGGUGCCGCCCUACACACCACCUUCUCACCCAUCUAACCCACCACCAUCUUACCCACCGCCAGCGGUGCCGCCCUACACACCACCUUCUCACCCAUCUAACCCACCACCAUCGUACCCACCGCCAGCGGUGCCGCCCUACGCACCACCUUCUCAACCAUCUAACCCACCACCAUCUUACCCACCGCCAGCGGAGCCGCCCUACACACCACCUUCUCAACCAUCUAACCCACCACCAUCUUACCCACCGCCAGCGGUGCCGCCCUACACACCACCUUCUCAACCAUCUAACCCACCACCAUCUUACCCACCGCCAGCGGUGCCGCCCUACUCACCACCUUCUCAACCAUCUAACCCACCACCAUCUUACCCACCGCCAGCGGUGCCGCCCUACACACCACCUUCUCAACCAUCUAACCCACCACCAUCUUACCCACCGCCAGCGGUGCCGCCCUACACACCACCUUCUCAACCAUCUAACCCACCACCAUCUUACCCACCGCCAGCGGUGCCGCCCUACACACCACCUUCUCACCCAUCUAACCCACCACCAUCUUACCCACCGCCAGCGGUGCCGCCCUACGCACCACCUUCUCAACCAUCUAACCCACCACCAUCUUACCCACCGCCAGCGGAGCCGCCCUACACACCACCUUCUCAACCAUCUAACCCACCACCAUCUUACCCACCGCCAGCGGUCACGCCCUACACACCACCUUCUCAACCAUCUAAACCACCACCAUCUUACCCACCGCCAGCGGUGCCGCCCUACUCACCACCUUCUCAACCAUCUAAACCCACCACCAUCUUACCCACCGCCAGCGGUGCCGCCCUACACACCAC
rnacentral:lncRNA from 1 species